rnacentral:rRNA from 1 species
CCUACGGGAGGCAGCAGUGAGGAAUAUUGGUCAAUGGACGCAAGUCUGAACCAGCCAUGCCGCGUGCAGGAAGACGGCUCUAUGAGUUGUAAACUGCUUUUGUACGAGGGUAAACGCAGAUACGCGUAUCUGUCUGAAAGUAUCGUACGAAUACGGAUCGGCUAACUCCGUGCCAGCAGCCGCGGUAAUACGGAGGAUUCAAGCGUUAUCCGGAUUUAUUGGGUUUAAAGGGUGCGUAGGCGGUCGGAUAAGUUAGAGGUGAAAUCCCGAGGCUCAACUUCGGAAUUGCAUCUGAUACUGUGCGGCUAGAGAGUAGAUGCGGAAGGCGGAAUGUAUGGUGUAGCGGUGAAAUGCUUAGAGAUCAUACAGAACACCGGUUGCGAAGGCAGCUUACCAGGCUACUUCUGACGUUGAGGCACGAAAGCGUGGGGAGCAAACAGGAUUAGAUACCCCAGUAGUC